CCCCCACCCACCCGUCUCCCGCCGCCACCCACCUGUCCCGUCGCCGCCACCCACCAGUCCCCUCGCCGCCACCCACCAGUCCCCUCGCUGCCACCCAUCUCCACCACACCUCUCUUCCCCACCUCAGAUCCCCUCCCCUCUCCCCACUCCCAUAUCCAACUUCCCACUGCCACCUCCGGCGCCCAAUCUUGGUGACCUAACGGAGGAUUCUAUGGCGCCCAGCACACCUGCACCCGUCACCGGCCAUGGAGGCGGUGGCCCUCCCCGCCGGUGACGUGCCGACCAUGAACGCGGUCCUCACCAACUCGCUCAGCACCGAUGAGGUGAUGCGGCACCCCGCGGAGUAGGCCCUCUCCAUGUUACCGUCCCGUCCUUCUCCUUUAUGUCUCUCUCUCUCCCUCGUGCAUCUUCCGUCUCUCUCAGGUACAUCUACAAAAGCCCCGCCAUGGAUGGCCUCUUCAGGAGCUCCUGCCGCCGCUGCAGUUCGUCCACAUCGCCGCCCCGCGGACCACCCCUGUGCCUCUGCCACCCCACCAUUUAGCCACGAUGCCCGCUCGUUCUCUGCUUUGAGCGAUGGGACAUGCACCGCCCCUCGUUGACCUCCGGCGAGCUCCAAGUCCCAUGAUCCACGACAGCCAGCCCAGCCCCUCCAAGUCCCACGAUCCACGACAUCUAGCCAGCUACGUUCCAGUCGUCAUCGACCUGCCCCGCAGCUAGCAGGUCCUCAUUGUCGUCAUCAUGGCCGGGUCGCCUGUUGAAGGAGUUCAUUCUGGGCAGCCGGAGGCGUACGGGUUCAAGAUCAACGACAAGUUUUUUCGAAGGUCCAGAGACCCACCCUUGGACCAUGUUAUCGAGAUGCUACAGAAGCACAAGGAUAAGUCUCAAGAUGAAAUUUAGCUAGUUGGCUACACUAUGCCUUAUGCUGUUGUUGAUUUAUUUCUUUUGUGCUCGUUGCAGUUCUAAAUCGAUGAGUGAGUGAUCAGGUAGCAGCUAGCUAACUGCCUCUAGAUUGUAACCCUGUUAUGGGAUGUGUGGUUGCGCAUGCAUUCUGCAUUGUCAAAUGUGUUCUUUGUUGUCACACAUCGUAUGCGAUGUUGUUCAUAGUUUUUAUAUUUGUUGUCAUGCGAUGCGUUCACUGAAUUGCUCAAAUUUGCUGGCCAAGUACUAUGUAGUGCUGUUCUAUGCUUGGCUACCAGGCUAGGUAACUUCUGUACCAAAAUCAUGGGUUCUAAUCUUUACUAUUAUCUGCCAUGGAUCAACAAUGAUGCGUCACAGGUAGUAAUAGUAGUAGUAGAGUCGGACUUGCUGCUGCAUUGCCCAGUUAUUAAAGGCAUGCUCUAUAUUGUUUUGUCACAUGCACUUUGGUGUAUAUAUGAUGGGGAUUUUGUACAUGAACAAAAGAAACAAGGGUAAAACUAUAUUUAUCACUUUGCAUAACCUCAGUACAUUUACAUGCACACGCACACACAUUUGACUGCUGAGUGUUUGAAUUAUUGGAAUGUGGGGGUUGGUCUGUUUAUUCCCAUGCUCUUUGCUGGUUUGGGGACCGGUGUGUUAUUUAUUGGGCUAUUCAACACUAUUUUUUGUGAGUCGGGAAGAAAAAUGGAGCUGAUAAUUUGUUAGGCUAUUCAAAACCUGGAAGGAAGAUGAGUACUCUGGUUACUGAUAAUUUGUAGUUAUGCUAACAAAAUUUACAACUAUUGUUUGAUUCAAACCUUUGUUCUUUUUCUUGGUGUUUACAGGUGCCGAUGAGUAGAUGUUGGUCAAAUCCUCGAUGUCCUACAUUGUCGGCAACCCCAGAAUGUCCGACACUGAAUUCGACAAGCUCAAGCUCGUAUUCAACAUCAGUAUGAAACAAGAUUUGAGAUUUGGAAGCUGGGAAGCUGGGAAGCUGGGGAAUGCGAAGUUUGAAGAGACCUGGAGUAUUUCGACUGAUUGCCAUUUGUAUAUGUGUUAUAUGAUGAUGUAACACACUGAUUCUGCUAUUGUAUGAUGUAUCAAACUGAUUUUGGCUAUUAUUUGA